GCAGCAGGGGGAGUACCUGCCAUUCCAGGCACUCCCCCCUUCUGGCAAUGCUGAGGAUGGCUAUGCCGUCCAUGUGAUUGUGAGGUCCUCACAAGGACCUCACAAUCACAUGGCCCAGGAGCACUGGAAUGGCAGCAGGGGACUCCCUGGGAUGCCAGCGUGGGAUUGCCAGCGACCGGGUAAGUACAUAGGACGGCGGGGACGUGCUAUGGCGCCUGCCGGCAUUUAGAGCCGGUCCCCAAGGACGGCAUAGCACACCUGCCGUCC